rnacentral:rRNA from 1 species
GACGAACGCUGGCGGCGUGCUUAACACAUGCAAGUCGAACGGAAAGGCCCUGCGUUUGUGGGGUGCUCGAUUGGCGAACGGGUGAGUAACACGUGAGUAACCUGCCCUUGACUUUGGGAUAACUUCAGGAAACUGGGGCUAAUACCGGAUAGGAGCUCCUGCUGCAUGGGGGGGGUUGGAAAGUUUCGGCGGUUGGGGAUGGACUAGCGGCUUAUCAGCUUGUUGGUGGGGUAGUGGCUUACCAGGGCUUUGACGGGUAGCCCGCAUGAGAGGGUGGACGGCGACAUGGGGACUGAGAUACGGACCAGAAUGCUACGGGAGGCAGCAGUCGGGAAUAUGGCACAAUGGGCGGAAGCCUGAUGCAGCAACGCCGCGUGCGGGAAGACGGGCUUCGAGUUGUAAACCGCUUUCGACGGUGCCGAAGCGUGAGUGACGGUAAUUGGUAAAAAAGCACCGGCUAACUACGUG